rnacentral:rRNA from 1 species
GCUUGGGAACAUACCUAAAGGUGGGGGAUAACAGUUGGAAACGACUGCUAAUACCGCAUAGUCUCGCAAGAGUAAAUGAGGCCUCUCCUUGGAAGCUCCAGCCUUUUGAUUGGCCCAAGUCGCAUUAGCUAGUUGGUGAGGUAAUGGCUCACCAAGGCUACGAUGCGUAGCUGGUCUGAGGGGAUGAUCAGCCACACUGGAACUGAGACACGGUCCAGACUCCUACGGGAGGCAGCAGUGGGGAAUAUUGCACAAUGGGCGAAAGCCUGAUGCAGCAACGCCGCGUGGGUGAAGAAGGCU